GGGGCCGACCGGUUUCGACAGCGGGAUGAAGGUCUGUGUAAGCAAGCCGAGCCUUGAAGUGUUGCUCGUAAAUAAGAUGCUUCGACCUUUAAAUGGCGAAAAUAACUACGCUCUCGCUGCGUAAUCAUCACUAAGUGAGAUUUGCUUAAUCCGCUGCAAAAGCAGUAGGACGAGAUGUCUCCGAAGACAGUUUUCCCGACACUGUUUUCUGUUGAGGCACCGAUGAGUUUGGGAUAGGAAAUAAUGAGUCUGGCGUUGUUUCCAAAACUUUACAGACUAAGCUGUAAUUAGGCUGUUUCCGGCUCGAUUGCAGUCGAAAAAUUUACGGAGACUAAGCUUGUAGAAGGCAUGGGGUUUCCCUGUUUGGACGAGGGUUCGAAUCCCUCCGGCUCCACUU
rnacentral:tmRNA from 1 species